CUGUCGUCAGCUCGUGUCGUGAGAUGUUGGUUAAGUCCCGCAACGAGCGCAACCCUUUGUCAUUAGUUGCUACGAAAGGGCACUCUAAUGAGGACUGCCGGUGACAAACCGGAGGAAGGUGGGGAUGACGUCAAGUCCUCAUGGCCCUUAUGGGUAGGGCUUCACACGUCAUACAAUGGUCGGGACAGAGGGUUGCCAACCCGCGAGGGGGAGCUAAUCCCAUAAACCCGAUCGUAGUCCGGAUUGCAGUCUGCAACUCGACUGCAUGAAGUCGGAAUCGCUAGUAAUCGCGGAUCAGCAUGUCGCGGUGAAUACGUUCCCGGGUCUU
rnacentral:rRNA from 1 species